UACGUAGGGUGCGAGCGUUAAUCGGAUUUACUGGGCGUAAAGCGUGCGCAGGCGGUGCUGUAAGACAGGUGUGAAAUCCCCGGGCUUAACCUGGGAACUGCAUUUGAGACUGCAUCGCUGGAGUGCGGCAGAGGGGGAUGGAAUUCCGCGUGUAGCAGUGAAAUGCGUAGAUAUGCGGAGGAACACCGAUGGCGAAGGCGAUCCCCUGGGCCUGCACUGACGCUCAUGCACGAAAGCGUGGGGAGCAAACAGG
rnacentral:rRNA from 1 species